CCUACGGGAGGCAGCAGUAAGGAAUAUUGGUCAAUGGGCGGAAGCCUGAACCAGCCAUGCCGCGUGCAGGAAGACGGCCCUACGGGUUGUAAACUGCUUUUGUACCGGAAUAAACCUUGAUUCGUGAAUCAAGCUGAAUGUACGGUAAGAAUAAGGAUCGGCUAACUCCGUGCCAGCAGCCGCGGUAAUACGGAGGAUCCAAGCGUUAUCCGGAUUUAUUGGGUUUAAAGGGUGCGUAGGUGGCUUUUUAAGUCAGGGGUGAAAGACGGUAGCUUAACUAUCGCAGUGCCCUUGAUACUGAAGAGCUUGAAUGAACUAGAGGUAGGCGGAAUGUGACAAGUAGCGGUGAAAUGCAUAGAUAUGUCACAGAACACCAAUUGCGAAGGCAGCUUACUAUGGUUAAAUUGACACUGAGGCACGAAAGCGUGGGGAUCAAACAGGAUUAGAUACCCUGGUAGUCCACGCCCUAAACGAUGAAUACUCGAUGUUGGCGAUAUACGGUCAGCGUCUAAGCGAAAGCGUUAAGUAUUCCACCUGGGGAGUACGCCCGCAAGGGUGAAACUUCAAAGGAAUUGACGGCUUGAGCGNGCGAGACGACGACGAGGAGGAGG
rnacentral:rRNA from 1 species